UGGGGAAUUUUGGACAAUGGGCGCAAGCCUGAUCCAGCAAUGCCGCGUGCAGGAUGAAGGCCUUCGGGUUGUAAACUGCUUUUGUACGGAGCGAAAAGGUCUGCCCUAAUACGGUGGGCUCAUGACGGUACCGUAAGAAUAAGCACCGGCUAACUACGUGCCAGCAGCCGCGGUAAUACGUAGGGUGCGAGCGUUAAUCGGAAUUACUGGGCGUAAAGCGUGCGCAGGCGGUUAUAUAAGACAGAUGUGAAAUCCCCGGGCUCAACCUGGGACUUGCAUUUGUGACUGUAUAGCUAGAGUACGGUAGAGGGGGAUGGAAUUCCACGUGUAGCAGUGAGAUGCGUAGAUAUGCGGAGGAACACCGAUGGCGAAGGCAAUCCCCUGGACCUGUACUGACGCUCAUGCACGAAAGCGUGGGGAGCAAACA
rnacentral:rRNA from 1 species